ACGAACGCUGGCGGCGUGCUUAACACAUGCAAGUCGAACGGAAAGGCCCUGCUUUUGUGGGGUGCUCGAGUGGCGAACGGGUGAGUAACACGUGAGUAACCUGCCCUUGACUUUGGGAUAACUUCAUGAAACUGGGGCUAAUACCGGAUAGGAGCUCCUGCUGCAUGGUGGGGGUUGGAAAGUUUCGGCGGUUGGGGAUGGACUCGCGGCUUAUCAGCUUGUUGGUGGGGUAGUGGCUUACCAAGGCUUUGACGGGUAGCCGGCCUGAGAGGGUGACCGGCCACAUUGGGACUGAGAUACGGCCCAGACUCCUACGGGAGGCAGCAGUGGGGAAUAUUGCACAAUGGGCGGAAGCCUGAUGCAGCAACGCCGCGUGCGGGAUGACGGCCUUCGGGUUGUAAACCGCUUUCGCCUGUGACGAAGCGUGAGUGACGGUAAUGGGUAAAGAAGCACCGGCUAACUACGUG
rnacentral:rRNA from 1 species